UUACCUGUGGUCGUCUGUUCAUAUUGCGGUUGGAAUACUCUGUUUAAUCAUCAUACUCAGCAUCACUGUCACUUCCUGGAGAAAAGCUCGACAGACACAGGGGCAACACACAGCAGCAACAGAAAAUGAUCCUCCAUCACAGGAGAGCAGUAACUGAGCCGUGUUCAGCGUUCAUCCUCAGACAGUCUGACAGUAAAAAGUCCUCCAGCUUUCAACACUGUGACUAGUAGUCUAUAAGUGACACAGACCGUUUCAAGUAGUUUGAUUGUGGUCCUGCACAUGGCUGCACAUGCUGAUGUCUCACGCACAGUGUGGAGGAGUAACUUGUUACAUGUUAUUUAGUUACGUAAUUAAAUUACAAAAUAAAUGUAACAGUAAUCUCUUACAGUAACUGGGAAAAAAUGUGUUGUUAAAUUACAUUUACCUAUGAAAGUGUUCAUGAUUACAUUGUAAUCUGUAAAAAGCUCGGCUAUAUGUUGAAUAAUCUUCAUUUUGUUGCUUUGCA